AUGGAGAAGCAUCUGAGAACCUCCUUGGUGGUUUUGUGGCUUCAUUUUUGUUGGGUGAGUGGCAAAAACCAAGUGGAACAGAAUCUUCCAUCCCUGGUCAUCCUGGAGGGGGAGAACUGCACAAUUCAAUGCAACUACACAGUGAACCCUUUUAGCAACUUAAGGUGGUACAAGCAGGGCACUGGGAGAGGUCCUGCUUCUCUGAUAGUCAUGGCUUACGGUGACAGCAAAAAGUCAGAUGGAAGGUACACAGCGACUCUGGAUGCAACCUCCAAGCACAGCUCCCUGCACAUCACAGACGCCCAGCUCAGUGAUUCAGCCUUCUACAUCUGUGCGGUGAGCGCACUGUGUUCCCUGGGCACUUGCAGCCAGUACCUAAACCUGCACCUGCAGGUUGUCAAGGAGGCUUAG